rnacentral:rRNA from 1 species
GAUGAACGCUGGCGGCGUGCCUAAUACAUGCAAGUCGAGCGAACGGACGAGAAGCUUGCUUCUCUGAUGUUAGCGGCGGACGGGUGAGUAACACGUGGAUAACCUACCUAUAAGACUGGGAUAACUUCGGGAAACCGGAGCUAAUACCGGAUAAUAUUUUGAACCGCAUGGUUCAAAAGUUAAAGACGGUCUUGCUGUCACUUAUAGAUGGAUCCGCGCUGCAUUAGCUAGUUGGUAAGGUAACGGCUUACCAAGGCAACGAUGCAUAGCCGACCUGAGAGGGUGAUCGGCCACACUGGAACUGAGACACGGUCCAGACUCCUACGGGAGGCAGCAGUAGGGAAUCUUCCGCAAUGGGCGAAAGCCUGACGGAGCAACGCCGCGUGAGUGAUGAAGGUCUUCGGAUCGUAAAACUCUGUUAUUAGGGAAGAACAGAUGUGUAAGUAACUGUGCACAUCUUGACGGUACCUAAUCAGAAAGCCACGGCUAACUACGUG